CCUACGGGAGGCAGCAGUGGGGAAUAUUGCACAAUGGGGGGAACCCUGAUGCAGCGACGCCGCGUGAGUGAAGAAGUAUUUCGGUAUGUAAAGCUCUAUCAGCAGGGAAGAAGAUGACGGUACCUGACUAAGAAGCCCCGGCUAACUACGUGCCAGCAGCCGCGGUAAUACGUAGGGGGCAAGCGUUAUCCGGAUUUACUGGGUGUAAAGGGAGCGUAGACGGCAGGGCAAGUCUGGAGUGAAAGCCCGGGGCCCAACCCCGGGACUGCUUUGGAAACUGCCAUGCUAGAGUGCUGGAGAGGUAAGCGGAAUUCCUAGUGUAGCGGUGAAAUGCGUAGAUAUUAGGAGGAACACCAGUGGCGAAGGCGGCUUACUGGGCUUUUACUGACGCUGAGGCUCGAAAGUAUGGGGAGCAAACAGGAUUAGAUACCCCUGUAGUC
rnacentral:rRNA from 1 species